rnacentral:sRNA from 1 species
UAAUAUUGAUAUUACAUGUGCACAAGU